CCUACGGGUGGCAGCAGUGAGGAAUAUUGGUCAAUGGACGAGAGUCUGAACCAGCCAAGUAGCGUGAAGGAUGACUGCCCUAUUGGUUGUAAACUUCUUUUAUAUGGGAAUAAAAUGUUCCACGUGUGGGAUUUUGUAUGUACCAUAUGAAUAAGGAUCGGCUAACUCCGUGCCAGCAGCCGCGGUAAUACGGAGGAUCCGAGCGUUAUCCGGAUUUAUUGGGUUUAAAGGGAGCGUAGGUGGAUUGUUAAGUCAGUUGUGAAAGUUUGCGGCUCAAACGUAAAAUUGAAGUUGAAACUGGCAGUCUUGAGUACAGUAGAGGUGGGCGGAAUUCGUGGUGUAGCGGUGAAAUGCUUAGAUAUCACGAAGAACUCCGAUUGCGAAGGCAGUUCACUGGACUGCAACUGACACUGAGGCUCGAAAGUGUGGGUAUCAAACAGGAUUAGAUACCCGUGUAGUC
rnacentral:rRNA from 1 species